CUCGGAGCUGUCCGGCGUGGCUCCCUCUUCCAGGAUGGGUCCCAUUGAGCGAAGAUGAAAGGGGGUGGGAGAAAUGGGGGCGGGGAGGGGCGCUUGCUUUCCUCGUCCUCCUGCUCACACCGGCUGUUCCCUCAAGGCAAAAGGUCCCUAAUGACUUCCUUGAUUUUCUUGAUAAAACAGGACUUUUAUCCUAGAAGGAUGAGAAUCAGGCGAGGAGAUGCCAAACUUACUGCUCUAUGAUUUCAGAAACAGAGUGUCUCAGGUCUACGUGAGGACAGAGGGCAGAUAGCAUGAUCCUAAUAUCUCCCUGGCAUGCUUUCUUCCAGGUAUUGGUUCGUCCUUACCAUACUAAAACAUUCAUGAGCCGACCCUGUGAUGGGGACACCGCCAGGGCAGACACAGCCCGUUUGCAUGGUAUGGAGCUCACGGUUCAGUGGGGGACAUAGACGCAUCACCAGCAAUUGCAGAUUUAAACAAUAGGAUACCUCUACACACCUAUUAGAAUGUCUAAAAUCCCAAACAAUGAAAUAGCAACUGCUGGUGAGGAUGUGGAGCAACAGGAACUCUCAUUCAUUGCUAGUGGGAAUGCAAAAUGGUACAGCCACUUUGGAAGACAAUCUGAAAAGGCAACUACACGGCAUCCUGGAAAAGGCAAAACUGUAGAGAUCAGUAAAAAGGUGUGUGUCUAGCUCCAUGAUGAAGAAUGCCAGCUUCUCCUGUGGAUGCUCAUACCAUCAAGGUGAGGUGUGAUCCAGCGGCUCAAACACUGGAAAGCAGUUAUUAUGGGCAAAGGCUCUGCAGUGUGACUGAUUGGAGUUGAAUCCUGACUCUACCACUCACAGGCUGGAUAAUCUUGGAAUGUGAAAUCCAUGAGGGUAGCAUUUUGUCCUCACAACAACAGAUGCACAAUAAAAAUUUGCUAAUUGAAAGAAGAAGUGAAGGAACAACUCGCAGCCCUGUCUGAUGGUUGGCAACACUUGGCACUCCGGACAUUGAGGAACCACUGUCCCAUCAGGCCCAAAUGGAGACUUUGAGCCAUGUGAGUAAUGCUGUUGUAUAUAUUUGGUGGUUUGUUCACGAAUUGGAGAGCAGGUUACCAAGAUAACUUGUCCGUUACGAGUACCAACCUGAC
rnacentral:lncRNA from 1 species